rnacentral:rRNA from 1 species
CUUUAUCUGAGAGUUUGAUCCUGGCUCAGGACGA